UACAGAGGUCUCGAGCGUUGUUCGGAUUCAUUGGGCGUAAAGGUGCGUAGGUGGCGGGGUAAGUCAGGUGUGAAAUCCCGGGGCUCAACCCCGGAACUGCAUUUGAUACUGCCUUGCUCGAGUACUGGAGAGGAGACUGGAAUUUACGGUGUAGCAGUGAAAUGCGUAGAGAUCGGGAGGAACACCAGUGGCGAAGGCGGCCAUCUGGAUCAACCACUGACGCUGAGGCACGAAAGCGUGGGGAGCAACAGG
rnacentral:rRNA from 1 species